rnacentral:lncRNA from 1 species
GAAAGUGGAGAAGGUUUCGGAGCGUCCCAUUGAGUGAGCGACUGCAUCAAUUUUCGUGAACUCUUUCGGACAAUUCAUCGAACAACUUCGAAGCGGAUUGACAAUGGGGGAUCAAGGUGGCGAUGCGACAGGCGGCUCGUCCGACAAUGGGGGACGAGGAGCGUCGGCAACCAGGAAAGAGAUCCCUAAUGUCAAAGGGGUGUAGGGACGACCGAGGCAGGCAGGGUGGGCCGAUCAUAAGAUCACUAAGGAGGAGUUGGAGAAUCUGUGAAGGCACUUCUUGGUUGUUUUGGAGCCGUUGGAGAAGCGGGUGGAAGCGUCCAAGCAAGGCUAGGAGAACCAAGCAGU